GUUUGGGUGAACUGCAGCAGCGCAGCCGCAGUGCGGCGCUCCGGCUCCGUAUCCUUCCGCGGUGGGCAUGGUGCGAGCUGAGAAAAAGUACUGAGAAAAAGCCUUGCUGUCCCAAGCAUCCUCAGCACAAUCACAAGAUGAAGCCUCAGGUCUCCAAAGGAAAACAUGGAUGCCUUUUCCAGCAGUAUUAAUGAGCAGGCUGCUGAGUGCCACAUUUCAGAAGCUGCCUGAACACCGUCCCUCGGAGCUGGUCCCUGAGCACCACUCCUUGCUCCCUCUCUUCAUGUGAGGUUCAGUUGCUAGGAUAGUAAACGUGAAGUGACGUCCUGCUGACCCAAAGUAAAAAUUUGGGACACUUUUUGAAGUUUCCAUUGGGUGAAACUUCAGUGAGCAGAGUCACAGGACAGGAUGCCUUUCCCCCUUGACUGUGCAACCUGAAAUCCAAUCUGCUCCACCUUUCCAAGGAUUCAUAUCACACAAGCACCCAGAAAUAAUCACCUCUUCCCCUAACAGAGAUAGGGGCAGACAGGCAGAACCUCAUGGAGUUCCCCAACUACUUUAACACCAAGAGAAAUGGCUUAGUGAGAACCAGUAGGGUCUAGAAAUCCCCUUCCAAAAAGAUGAAAUACCAAAAAAACCUUCCCUACCAUAAGUUGGCAUAACCCUGUUAGCACAAUGGGAGCCACCCCAGUUAUCCAACUGAGGUUUAGCUCCUAUUUCUUGGGGCACCAGCUCUGCCUGCUUUCUCCUUCCUUUGACACAUCCCCACACACAGCAACCACUCGUGGGCAGGCAGAGCCAAAGGGACACAGCAACUGGGAACAGAGGUUAGAAUUCAUCCCUGGUAGCUGCAGUACAAGGAAGAAGGUUUGUCAAGUCUGUACUUGAUGUCUACUGUGUACUGCAACAGCACACUGGAGCUGCUGCCAGG